GAUGAACGCUGGCGGCGUGCCUAAUACAUGCAAGUCGAGCGAACAGACGAGGAGCUUGCUCCUCUGACGUUAGCGGCGGACGGGUGAGUAACACGUGGAUAACCUACCUAUAAGACUGGGAUAACUUCGGGAAACCGGAGCUAAUACCGGAUAAUAUAUUGAACCGCAUGGUUCAAUAGUGAAAGACGGUUUUGCUGUCACUUAUAGAUGGAUCCGCGCCGCAUUAGCUAGUUGGUAAGGUAACGGCUUACCAAGGCAACGAUGCGAAGCCGACCUGAGAGGGUGAUCGGCCACACUGGAACUGAGACACGGUCCAGACUCCUACGGGAGGCAGCAGUAGGGAAUCUUCCGCAAUGGGCGAAAGCCUGACGGAGCAACGCCGCGUGAGUGAUGAAGGUCUUCGGAUCGUAAAACUCUGUUAUUAGGGAAGAACAAAUGUGUAAGUAACUAUGCACGUCUUGACGGUACCUAAUCAGAAAGCCACGGCUAACUACGU
rnacentral:rRNA from 1 species